CCCUAUUAUAUUAGUAUUGAAAUUUAAUAAUUUUGGCGGUUAGGGGGUUUUAGAGGAGCUUGAAUAGAAUUUGCUCUUUAAAUCUUAGCAAUAUAAUUUAUUCAUCUCCGUUAUUAAUUUAGUAUAUCAGGUCAAGAUGUAGUGUUUAUUGGUUUGUUAGCUACAUUUAUGAAAUUAGAAAUUGAAUUUAGAUGUAAUAAUAAUUAAAAAGCUAUUAUGAAUACUUAUCUUUAAUGU
rnacentral:rRNA from 1 species